GGAAUGGGGACUUGAACCUGAUUUUAUCAAGUAAGUAAUAUACCUUGAGCCACUGAAUCAAACUAGACUAGAGAGUCAAUUGUGCAUUUUACCUAAACUAUGAGGUUUUCUUCAUCUUUCUUAGUGAGUAAGUUCCAAUUCAAAUGGUUAUUUCAAUGUGGAGUUUGAGUAUCUUAUGAGUUUGGAAUGUCACUUUGGGGAGCCUAUAAAUGUAACAAUUGUUAGGAAAUUUCAUAGUGAUAUGUGAUUUGCAUAUGUUCCAAUUUC
rnacentral:misc_RNA from 1 species